GUAAGGAAUAUUGGUCAAUGGACGCAAGUCUGAACCAGCCAUGCCGCGUGAAGGAUGAAGGUCCUCUGGAUUGUAAACUUCUUUUAUCUGGGACGAAAACGGGAUUUUUAUCUCAAUUGACGGUACCAGAGGAAUAAGCACCGGCUAACUCCGUGCCAGCAGCCGCGGUAAUACGGAGGGUGCGAGCGUUAUCCGGAUUUACUGGGUUUAAAGGGUGCGUAGGUGGGCUUAUAAGUCAGUGGUGAAAUCUCCGAGCUUAACUUGGAAACUGCCGUUGAUACUAUAGGUCUUGAAUUAUCUGGAGGUGAGCGGAAUAUGUCAUGUAGCGGUGAAAUGCUUAGAUAUGACAUAGAACACCAAUUGCGAAGGCAGCUUACUACAUAUAAAUUGACGCUGAGGCACGAAAGCGUGGGGAUCAAACA
rnacentral:rRNA from 1 species